AAAUAAUUUCUCAAAUUGGCGUGGCUACCUGUUAGCAGUUGAAUAAGAUUAUAUUUACAUUCUUUCCUUUUCAUUUGACAAAAUAAAACAUUACAAUACAUUUUUGGAAUAUAUUAGAACAAUAAAACGUUCAUCGCAAAUGUUAUUCAAUAAACAUUUUUUUCCACAUUUUUUAAACAAUCUUUGUAUAUUAUUUUCAUCUUAGAGCCAAACGUUCUUUACUUUAUUUAUAUAUAUAUGUAUUGCAAAAAAAGAUGAAAUUAACGUACACAUUAUUAUUAUUAUAUAUUAUAAUAUUUGGCAUCUGUAACGUACUUUUAAUUUUAGGAAUUUAUAAAUUCAUCUGUAUGUGUUAUGUUAUAGUAAAAAAAUGCUUAUGAUAUAUCAUAUAUAUACUAUAUACAGUAUUAUACAUAUUUAUAAUGAGCUGCACAAAAUAACGGUUUGCUGUUUGUCACUUCAAAGGCGGACACAUACUUUUAACUUUGCGUUUUAAAUGUGUGUCUCCGCCCAAGUCUAGUUGCAAGCCAUAAUCUGAGACGUUACAGGUUUCGUUGCAAGUUUUUGUGGCGGGCUCACAAAUCGCAAUACAUAUUCAAAAAACUUCCCCUCCGAAAAGUAGGUACAUUAAAUCUAAAUAUGAUCUUUCCAUACAUCGAAAAAUCAUUGUAUAAAAAUUUCUUGCGAAAAUGUUUACAAACGUCUCACAAGAAAAUCAACAAUUUAGAGGAAAUAAGUUUCACAAUAUUCUCGCAAGUACUUUAUAUAUUUAGAGUACUUUGUAACUUAUACAAUAUUUAAACGCUAACACUACAAUAUGUUAGACAACCUCAAUGUGACCCCGCCUUUACGUUCGUAAAUAAAUUUUUGAAACAAAUGUGAACUAUUUAUACAAAAUUACGUCGACCAUGUACCUAACACAAUCGGUGAAAACACCCUCGCGAUACAUAUUUUUCCGAAAAAGAAAAGAGCUUCCCUACGUAAAUUAUAUAAUGUCGUCUUAUCCCUACCAUAAUAUGAGACCGCCUCCCCAAACUAGUGCUGGGACACGAAAUCAUAUCGAUAUAAUAUCUCAUAUUAAUUUGUAUGGCGCACAACAAAGAACAAACGCACUUAGAAUUUCUCUCACUCACGUCACUAGCAACAAACAUACGCGCUGAACGCACUUACGCGAUAAUAAAAUUUGAUAAAAAAAAACAAAGAAAAAAAAAACAAAAACGCACGACCCAUACCACGCCUUCGAGCGAAGUGACACGUCUAACACGUGAAUACCGCGGUACGGGUCAUAUAGGCCCUUUCCAUAUUUUUUUGUGAUUUUUUUGAAUGUUAUAUCAUAUACAUCACAAAUUAUACACGAAUAGAAGCCGUUUCGGGAAAGGACUCGAGCUACUUCCCUUUUAACAUUACUUAUAUAUACAUUAUAUGUACAACUAUCUUAACCUAUCCAUGGACUUAGGAAAAAUGUAUAGAUAUUUCGUCAAUCUCUUCAUAUUAUCAAAUAAUUGUGUAUACUAGUGCGUUUAUUAUACACAUAAGUAUAUCUAGUUUAUAUUUAUACGCGUUUUUUCUCGUUACGCAAUCGAAUCUUAAAUAAUCGUAAACGGUACCCCUAGAAACGAGUUUAUACAUCGCGAAAACUGAUGGUUUUCGUGAAUUUCGAUAGUUUUGUACUACCGGUUUUCGCUAGAGAGUGUAAGAACCCGAUAUCGAAUUUCGUUUUCGAAAACUACAAUAACUCGCAAUAGGGCACAAGAGCUCAAUGAGCAUAACUUAUUCGUUAAAUCUUUAAUGAGUAUUCUAAUUUCAAGUCACCAAAUGCUUUUAUAAAAUAUGAAUAGUUCAUUGAACAGUAUACUCCCAGUUCCUAUAUCUAAAAAAAAAAAAAAACGAAUCUUUUUUCUUUCGAUUACAUUAAAGUUACAAGCCGUUUUUAUUUCUAGUUUAUAUGAAAACCCCCAAAUAUUUUAUAGAUUGGUAAUAUACUGCUAGAGCUCUUUAUGACUUUAUGAGUAAAGUUUCAUGUAUUUUUUUAUUUUUUUUAUAGGAACCGGGCAAAAUUAAAGAAUUUUUUAUUUAACUAGGGCACUAUAUCCCUUGAUUUGCUUGGGUUUUUAAAAUGGCCUUUCACAAAGAUAUUUUAAAACUGUUAUCAAACACUAUUAUUGUAUAGGACAGCAUAUAAUUCGACCAGAAAUGAAGCAUUUAGGUUUAAUUAAGAGUUUUUUACUGACAUCUUCUCAGCAUAUCAUGCUUGCCGAACUGGUAGUUAUCUUGAAUAGUCAAAUAGUCAUGCAAUGGUUUUAAGAUCAAUGUCUAAUAAUAAUGAUUACCGUCGAAACUCUAAUCAGUUCUUAAAUAUUUUUAACUGCCAAAAACAGUUUAAAUUAUAUUUGACUAGAGGUUGGUCAAAAGUAGCCGAAAGAACACUUGUGGCAGGAACCCUGCCAUAAAGGUAUUCGGGUAUUAAAAACAACAUGUGCAUUUCAAGUGUUUGAUAAAAGUUUCAAUAUUGUCAGCCUCACAAUUCGACGUAUAUUUGCGCGUGCCGUAGACGAAUUUGGAAGAAAUGUGAAUGUGAUGUCCACAUUUGGCGCUACCCAGGGAGCACCGCGCGGAGGUCAUGGACUUAGCCCCCCUUUAUAAAACAAACAAACAAACAUUCACAGAGCAGGUUACCCUGUCGAUUGGAACCGAUUUGGAUGCGGCACUUUAGGCACCGUAGCUAUUUUAGGGUUCCAGUACUCUUGACUUACACAUUACAAUAAUCCGUCCAUUGUACUAUGUAU